rnacentral:rRNA from 1 species
AAUUUGAAAGCUGGUACCUUCGGUGCCCGCGUUGUAAUCUCGAGACGCGUUUUCCGCGCGGCGCUAUGGACAAGUUCCUUGGAACAGGACAUCGUAGAGGGUGAAAAUCCCGUACUUGCCAUGGAUGCACCGUGCUUUGUGAUACGUGCUCAAAGAGUCGAGUUGUUUGGGAUUGCAGCUCAAAAUGGGUGGUAGACUCCAUCUAAAGCUAAAUAUCGGGGAGAGACCGAUAGCGAACAAGUACCGUGAGGGAAAGAUGAAAAGCACUUUGGAAAGAGAGUUAAAAGUACGUGAAAUUGUCGAAAGGGAAGCGCUUGAAGUCAGCCAUGCCGCUCAGGACUCAGCCUGGCUUUUGCUUGGUGUACUUCCUGGGUAGCAAGUCAGCAUUGGUUUGGACCGUCGGAGAAGCAUGGCAGGAAUGUGACGCCCUCGGGCGUGUUAUAGCCUGCCAUUGGA